UACCAGCACCCCGAGUGGUCGGGACGAUUAUUGGGCCUAAAGCGUCCGUAGCCGGUUUUACAAGUCCUCCGUUAAAUCCAGCUGCUUAACCGAUGGGCUGCGGAGGAUACUAUAAGACUAGGAGGCAGGAGAGGCAAGCGGUACUCAGUGGGUAGGGGUAAAAUCCGUUGAUCCAGUGAAGACCACCAGUGGCGAAGGCGGCUUGCCAGAAUGCGCUCGACGGUGAGGGAUGAAAGCUGGGGGAGCAAACCGG
rnacentral:rRNA from 1 species